rnacentral:rRNA from 1 species
UACGGAGGGUGCAAGCGUUAUCCGGAAUCACUGGGUUUAAAGGGUGCGUAGGCGGCGCUAUUAAGUCAGAGGUGAAAGGCCCACCGCUUAACGGUGGGACUGCCUUUGAUACUGUAGUGCUUGAAUCAGGCGUGAGGUCGGCGGAAUGUGACAUGUAGCGGUGAAAUGCUUAGAUAUGUCAUAGAACACCGCAAUUGCGAAGGCAGCUGACUAGACCUUGAUUGACGCUGAGGCGACGAAAAGCGUGGGGACGCGAACAGGAUUAGAUACCCGCGUAGUCC